rnacentral:tRNA from 1 species
GCAUGAUGGCUCAGUGGUAGAGCGUUGGUCUCAUUAACCAGGAGGUCCCAGGUUCAAAACCAAGUCGAUGCU